AUACGUAGGGGACAAGCGUUGUCCGGAAUGACUGGGCGUAAAGGGCGCGUAGGCGGUCUAUUAAGUCUGAUGUGAAAGGUACCGGCUCAACCGGUGAAGUGCAUUGGAAACUGGUAGACUUGAGUAUUGGAGAGGCAAGUGGAAUUCCUAGUGUAGCGGUGAAAUGCGUAGAUAUUAGGAGGAACACCAGUGGCGAAGGCGGCUUGCUGGACAAAUACUGACGCUGAGGUGCGAAAGGGUGGGGAGCGAACAGGAUUAGAUACCCUGGUAGUCCACGCCGUAAACGAUGAAUGCUAGGUGUUGGGGAAACUCAGUGCCGCAGUUAACACAAUAAGCAUUCCGCCUGGGGAGUACGACCGCAAGGUUGAAACUCAAAGGAAUUGACGGGG
rnacentral:rRNA from 1 species